GUAUGACUCUUGGCAAUGGAUAUCUCGGCUCUUGCAUCGAUGAACAACGUAGCAAAAUGUGAUACCUAGUGUGAAUUACAGUAUCCUGCAAACCAUCGAGUCUUUGAAUGCAAGUUGCACCCGAGGCCGCCAGGCCGAGGGCAUGCCUGCCUAGGCUUCACACCAAGCAAUGCU
rnacentral:rRNA from 1 species